rnacentral:rRNA from 1 species
CCUACGGGGGGCAGCAGUGAGGAAUAUUGGUCAAUGGACGAGAGUCUGAACCAGCCAAGUAGCGUGAAGGAUGACUGCCCUAUGGGUUGUAAACUUCUUUUAUAUGGGAAUAAAAUGUUCCACGUGUGGGAUUUUGUAUGUACCAUAUGAAUAAGGAUCGGCUAACUUCGUGCCAGCAGCCGCGGUAAUACGGAGGAUCCGAGCGUUAUCCGGAUUUAUUGGGUUUAAAGGGAGCGUAGGUGGAUUGUUAAGUCAGUUGUGAAAGUUUGCGGCUCAACCGUAAAAUUGCAAUUGAUACUGGCAGACUUGAGUACAGUUGAGGUAGGCGGAAUUCGUGGUGUAGCGGUGAAAUGCUUAGAUAUCACGAAGAACUCCGAUUGCGAAGGCAGCUUACUAAACUGCCACUGACAUUGAUGCUCGAAAGUGUGGGUAGCAAACAGGAUUAGAUACCCCAGUAGUC